rnacentral:rRNA from 1 species
GAUGAACGCUGGCGGCGUGCCUAAUACAUGCAAGUCGAGCGAAUGGAUUAAGAGCUUGCUCUUAUGAAGUUAGCGGCGGACGGGUGAGUAACACGUGGGUAACCUGCCCAUAAGACUGGGAUAACUCCGGGAAACCGGGGCUAAUACCGGAUAACAUUUUGAACCGCAUGGUUCGAAAUUGAAAGGCGGCUUCGGCUGUCACUUAUGGAUGGACCCGCGUCGCAUUAGCUAGUUGGUGAGGUAACGGCUCACCAAGGCAACGAUGCGUAGCCGACCUGAGAGGGGGAUCGGCCACACUGGGACUGAGACACGGCCCAGACUCCUACGGGAGGCAGCAGUAGGGAAUCUUCCGCAAUGGACGAAAGUCUGACGGAGCAACGCCGCGUGAGUGAUGAAGGCUUUCGGGUCGUAAACCUCUGUUGUUAGGGAAGAACAAGUGCUAGUUGAAUAAGCUGGCACCUUGACGGUACCUAACCAGAAAGCCACGGCUAACUACGUGCCAGCCGCCCGCGGUAA